UACGUAGGGUGCGAGCGUUGUCCGGAAUUAUUGGGUUUAAAGGGUGCGUAGGCGGCCUUAUAAGUCAGUGGUGAAAGCCCAUCGCUCAACGAUGGAACUGCCAUUGAUACUGUAAGGCUUGAGUACAGACGAGGUAGGCGGAAUUGAUGGUGUAGCGGUGAAAUGCAUAGAUACCAUCAAGAACCCCGAUUGCGUAGGCAGCUCGCUGAGCCGAAACUGACGCUGAGGCACGAAAGCGUGGGGAGCGAACAGG
rnacentral:rRNA from 1 species